GCCUACCUCAACAUGCGGCACUACGGGCAGCAAGGGAUGGGCGCAAGUGCCAGCGAAUACCAGACACCCUGAAGCCGGUGGAUGAUCAUCUCGACAUGUUCCUUGUGGUGCCAGCAACACUUGCACCGCUGGUGUGGCAUUCUUUGCACGCUAUGCUGGGAUAGUUUUUUAGGAGUGCCAUGUCUGGACAGCUUAUUCAGAAGCAGGCUGUCGUCGUCGAGAUCCAUGCUUUUUUUUUUAACGGAUGAUGUUGCAGUGCCCACAUGGGCACUACAGAUUUGCAGCCUACAGGCAGUGUGCCCUGUGGCUGUGGAGCCGCUUGGGAAAGAAGAAUAGGCGGCCCCUGCCAUCCUGUGUGGUCAAGACAAUUAGGGGCAGGUACCCUGCUGACGUGUAUGCGGGCUACAAGGAUGCAGAAUAAAUUGCGUUGACCUAGAGACCACGCAACCCCCUUCCCUUGUCUCUUCACCCUCCCUGCAUGUGUGUGAAGUCGCUCGUAGCCAUGAACGGAAUCCUCUAAAUCACGUGACCUAUUAUCUACGAUAUCACGUGACCAUAACUAUGAUCACAUGAUCGUAGUCAAACC